GCAGUCGUGGCCGAGUGGUUAAGGCGAUGGACUUGAAAUCCAUUGGGGUCUCUCCUCAUAGGUUCGAAUCCUGUCGGCUGCG
rnacentral:tRNA from 2 species